UUUUCAGACAGGGCAUCACUGUGAAGUUCAGGCUGGCCUCAAACUCACAGCGAUCCUCCUGCCUCAGUCUCUUGAGUGCUGGGAUUACAGAUGUCCUCCAAGAGCUUCAUUCACUCAUGGGCAAGGCUUUAGCAAGAGGACUGGAUCGUGGCGACGCUGCAGCUGAUUCGCUGUUAGGAGGAGCAGCUUUCCUCUGCCCAGAGCCUUUUGCCAUGACAUUUCUGUGUUGAAGCUGCCAGACAUGGAUUGGAACCUCUGAACUCUGAACCGACCAUAGAGCUCUCUCCACCUUUAAGUUUCAGGUGUUGGGUAUUUUGUGCAGCCAAUGAGGAAAGUGACUAAGACACUAUCAAACAGAGGCUUCCCUGGAGGCGACCCCAUUACUUUGUUUUCUUCAUAGCACGCACAGCAGGCUCUAAAUACCUUGUUUGUUUACUUCUGUACUUGUUUGUUAUCAUACAGUCCAUGAGGGCAAGGAGACCUUGUCGCAGGCUCCCCUGUUGUAUCCCCAUUGCUGAAAGUAGCAUCAUACCCAUAGCAGGUCCUCAACAAAUCCCUGUUCACUGUAAUGAAUGAGAGGGGGACUCGAACAGGGAGGAUCUUACCAGCUCUGAUUCGUGGGGACAUAUUCAGGGAUUUUAAUCAAAGACACAGUGAUUAGAUCUGGCCAUUCUAAAAGGUUGGUUUGGAGCUGGGCUAGGGCUGAGGCUGGGGCUACCACUCAGCUGUACAGUGAUUGCCUGCCAUUUCAGAGCCCAUGGGCUCAAUCCUGAGCAAUGCAACAGCACAACAAUGACAAAAGGAUCAACCUGCUGGUGGUGAGAAAAAACAGAUUGGAAGGGCACUCAGGAAAACUAUUGCAGUGGUCUGGGAGAAUGAUAAUACAAUUAAAUUAAUAACAUGUGCAAAGCCCGUGGCACUUCAUUAUAUGGAAUAGAGGAGGAAGUGUAGCAAGCAAGCAAGAAAUAAGGGUCUGAGAGACAGAAGGGUUUUGUAUCCCGAGACCCUUUGAGCUGCCUAUCUUGUCUUCCUGUGACAAAUACCAGAAUUCCUUAUGCUUUUCAGGUUGGUUUUUUAUGUUAAUAGUUUAUCUUGAGUUAACUAUUCAUUACUCUUCCCCUAUCAUCGGGUGUUGGGAGCUGCGGCCGAGCCCGGUCGCCUUACUUGGCGGACAUGAGGCCUGUAGGAAGGAGCAAAGCCUGAGCUAGAUUACCCCUCCCAUCGAGUGUGCUAAGAUGGCGCUUAUCUCCUGCUUCCUGCUUGGUAAACAACCCGCUCUGUAAGAUAGUCUGCCUAGCAACAACUGAUGUUAGCCAAUCAGCCCGCAUCGCGCGCUUUGAACUGAUUGGCCACUGUAACCCUAUAAAAGUGAGUGCCUCUCCCGCCACGAGAGAAGAAGCACGGAAGGAGCCACGGAGAGCGGACCGGUAGAGGCUUCGGGACAGACUGUAGAGAAGAAGCACGGAAGGAGCCGCGGGGAGCGGACCGGUAGAGGCUUCGGCCGGGAAGAAUCCCGGGGCAGACUGUACGGAGAGGGAAAAUAAAGAAAGCCCAGCCACUGCCA